rnacentral:rRNA from 1 species
AGGGUGUCGGUGGGUAUGGGCCCACCGGUGCCGCAGCAAACGCAUUAAGUGAUCCACCUGGGGAGUACGUUCGCAAGAAUGAAACUCAAAGGAAUUGACGGGGACCCGCACAAGCGGUGGAGCAUGUGGUUUAAUUAGAAGCAACGCGAAGAACCUUACCAAGUCUUGACAUCCCAUUGGCGAGUGAGUAACGUCACUUUCCCUUCGG